rnacentral:rRNA from 1 species
AUGUUUGAAAAUGCACAACUAUGGCUCUUCAAGGCAAAUUUCGAUGAUGCUGUCAGUGUAGUUCUCAAUGGUAUUCCGAGGGUGCAAAAUCUGACGCUACAAAUUUUGAAACUGGGAAUAGAGAUGCAACCACUUUUGAAUAGCACACGCAUGUUUUCCCAUCUUAGGUGCUUACAGUUGUUACUGGGUAUAACACUUGUAGAUAUAAACAAACUUCCCCGUGUAGUUUCCAUUCUGAGAGCAGCUCCAUCUAUUGAGAAGUUAGAGAUCCAUUUUACUGCCGGUGGUAGUCAUCUUUGUCUUGCGGCCAAGGGUACUGUGGACAAGCCACAGUACCUUGAGCACUGUGAAUAUAAUUAUCUGAAGAGUGUGCAUAUGACAGGAUAUAAAGGGGCAAGAGGUCAACUUGAAUUUCUUGUGCAUGUUGUGGAAAAGGCCCCUGCGCUGGAGGCAUUAACUGUGGACACAGCUCUAGUGCUUCACGAUGAUGUUUAUGUACAACAUUUUUGCGGAAAAAAUGCAUGCUCCGCCCGCUCUGCUGUGCGCGCUAGAUCUUGUCUGGGUGCAAUACUUUCACCAAACGUGAAGUUUUGUGUUACGUAG